AAGUCGUAACAAGGUUUCCGUAGGUGAACCUGCGGAAGGAUCAUUAUCGAAACCAAAGGCUCGAACCUUUUCAACACCCGUGUGCACCCGCUGUAGGUCCUUCGGGACCUAUGUCUUCUCCUUCGAACUCGCAUGUCUACAGAAUGUGUCCGUCGCUCCGGCGACAGGUUAAGCCUAUACAACUUUCAGCAAUGGAUCUCUUGGCUCUC
rnacentral:misc_RNA from 1 species